UGUUGAGUGACUUGCCUGAGGGCACACAGCAGCUAAGGGGCAAAGCUGGGAUUUGAACCCAGGCUAGAGGCUGUGCUUUUAACCACUGGGAAGUGAAUGAGGGCUAAGGUUUCCAUGUGGCUCCUGCAGGGUCCUUUGGAUGUGAUUGUCCUAGUCCUAGAGUGGCCCUGCCCUGGCCCAAGUGGAGCUCCUCUCCCUCCCCAGGAUUCACCCAUGUGUUGAGUGUUGAUCCCAAGAGACUGAGUCUCAGUCUGGGACUCUCCAGACAGGCCUCAGGCAAGGUGAGGGAGCGCCUCUUUCCCCAGGGAAGGAAGGCUGCCACUGGGAGUCACGCCUGCUCCCAGCCUCUGCCCUCGGUGUGGCAGCACGUCACCGCUUCCCUACACACGUGCCCCGAGUCUGCUCUUCCUCCUGGGGCAUCUGAUCCAUAUCCCCAGAGCCCGGGGCAGGGCUGAGGGAGGGCCAGGACCCCUUAGCUCCCAGCACAGACUGGCCCAGUGUUUAGCAAGACUGUGAAAGAGACAAUUGUUUGCUGUACCUGCUACCCUGGGAGAGGGAUAGGGACAGACCAGAGUCAGAGGCAGAGAGACAGAGCACCUGUCCUGGGAGGGCUCAGAGCAGUACUUGAGGGCUGGGGAGACCAGGUCUCUUCAGGGCCAUCCCAGGCACAGAGAACAGGCAGGUCUAGGCCCCCAAAAGGCAGGGCUGCACCUCGCCAGGAGAGGAGUCACAGGGAGGCAGCAACUGCAGUGAAAGGCUUUCUGCUGGUCACAGUUGGCUAGGGAUGGGCUGGGGGCUUUGAGAAGGGUGAGUCCCCCACCAUCAGGGUCAUGCAAAUAGAGCUUGGAUGAGCUUUCACUGGGGGUGUGGUUUGAAAGUUUGGACUAGAGCCUAGCUCUCAACUCUUUGGGCCUGGGUGGGGGUGUCUUUGUGUUGUCACAAUCACAGCAGGGCUGCUGGCCUUUAGUGGGAGGGUACCAGAGAUGCUAUGUCUCUGGCAUAUCCAGGACAGUCCUGCCCAAAGAACUCUCCACCCCAAAUGCCAGCAGCAUCCCUAUCGAGGAACCUCAAUGCCUUUAGCCUCCGGAGUAUGAGGGAUGUUGUCAACCUGUAGCGCACUGGAACUGUGAGAAGGGAGGAUGGCCUGCGCCUCGUGAACCAUGGGGUGGCAUCGUUGGUGGUUUGUCACACAAAACCCAUGUUCAGGGUCAUCUUGGGAGAACUAUAGGAGCUCUGGACCCACAUGGUGACUGUGUCACUCGUUUGUGUGAUGCCUUCUGUCCACUGGCCUGGACUGAACGAGGCUUGGUGAUGCACACAGCAAAUGGUCGGUGAAAAAUGAAUUCUCCCAGGAAGCUUUCCUGCCAGAGACCCUGGAGCCUUAAAUUUACUGCUUGCCUUCUGUGCUGACGGAACUGAGCCUCAAGAUUUAUAUCCAGGGGUUUGUGGGCAGCUGGCUCUGGGCCGGCGGGAGUCCUGAAGGGCAGGCAGGCUGAACCACAGAGCUCACUAAACAACUCUUGACUGAGUGCCAACAGUUUGUUGGGACCAGAGCAGUGACUAAGACCUCAGUGAACUCUGCCCUCCAGGAACUCACAGACAGAGCUAACGGUCUCCCAGGUUGGGUGCAGGAGCCAUGCCCAGGACAGUCUCCUGAGGAGGAGGUUGGGAACAAAUAUGAAGAGCUUCCAUUUACAUUUAUCUUCUAUCACAGUUUAAUUUGUUUCUCUUUUUGGGUAUGUUGUAUAAUGUGCAUGAUAUGCAAAUAUAGUAAUACAUGGCUACUUUAUGAA
rnacentral:lncRNA from 1 species